UGAUGCAGCAACGCCGCGUGGAGGAUGAAGGUCUUCGGAUUGUAAACUCCUUUGAUGAGGGACGAAAAAAAUGACGGUACCUCAAAAACAAACCACGGGUAAAUAUGUGCCAGCAGCCGCGGUAAUACGUAGGUGGCAAGCGUUGUCCGUAAUUAUUGGGGGUAAAGGGCGCGUAGGCGGUUCUUUAAGUCAGAUGUGAAAACCCGAGGGUCAACUUCGGGCGUGCAUUUGAAACUGGGGGACUAGAGUGCAGGAGAGGUAAGUGGAAUUUCUAGUGUAGCGGUGAAAUGCGUAGAUAUUUGGAGGAACACCAGUGGCGAAGGCGACUUACUGGACUGUAACUGACGCUGAGGCGCGAAAGCGUGGGGAGCAAACAGGAUUAGAUACCCUGGUAGUCCCCGCUGUAAACGAUGGAUACUAGGU
rnacentral:rRNA from 1 species